UACGAAGGGGGCGAGCGUUGUUCGGAAUCACUGGGCGUAAAGCGCACGUAGGCGGCUUAGCAAGUCGGAUGUGAAAUCCCUCGGCUCAACCAAGGAAGUGCAUCCGAAACUGCUGAGCUUGAGUACGAAAGAGGAUCGCGGAAUUCCCGGUGUAGAGGUGAAAUUCGUAGAUAUCGGGAGGAACACCAGUGGCGAAGGCGGCGAUCUGGGUCGAUACUGACGCUGAGGUGCGAAAGCGUGGGGAGCAAACAGG
rnacentral:rRNA from 1 species